ACUCAAAUGAAUAGACGGGGGCCCGCACAAGCAGCGGAGCAUGUGGUUUAAUUCGAAGCAACGCGAAGAACCUUACCAGGUCUUGACAUCCAGAUAAAGCCGUAGAGAUACGGGGUGCCUUCGGGCGAUCUGAGACAGGUGGUGCAUGGUUGUCGUCAGCUCGUGUCGUGAGAUGUUGGGUUAAGUCCCGCAACGAGCGCAACCCUUGCGAUUGGUUGCUAACAGGUAAAGCUGAGGACUCCAAUAGGACUGCCGGGGACAACUCGGAGGAAGGUGGGGACGAGGUCAAAUCAUCAUGCCCCUUAUGACCUGGGCUACACACGUGCUACAAUGGCCAGAACAGAGAGAUGCGAAGGCGCGAGCCGGAGCGAAUCUUAGAAAACUGGUCCCAGUUCGGAUUGUGGGCUGCAACCCGCCCACAUGAAGUCGGAGUUGCUAGUAAUCGCGAAUCAGCAUGUCGCGGUGAAUACGUUCCCGGGCCUUGCACACACCGCCCGU
rnacentral:rRNA from 1 species